GCCAGCACAGCGUACCCCAUUUUCCAUGAAGUUGCUCUCAUCUGUGAACAGGACAAAAUCAGCAUCAGGCAGCGGGGUUUUUUGCAGAUCCAGACAACUUGAGAACAACUGGUCGGUGACGCUGAGGUUCGCCAUUUCAGUCCUUAUUAAGGGAUCCAUCUCCUCUGCUAGGAGCCUGCUGACCACACCUACCUUACCAAGUUCUCUACCCCAGAGGCAGCAUCUGGAGUGUGCUUUACUGUGCAGGUUCCAGGGCCCCAUCGCCUCAGAAUGGAAAAUCCCGCAGCAAGAGUGGUGAGGCAGCCUCAAGACCAGGUGUUCAGCAAACUUUCUGUGAUCGCUGCCU